rnacentral:rRNA from 1 species
GGGUUGUGAGGUUAAGCGACUAAGCGUACACGGUGGAUGCCCUGGCAGUCAGAGGCGAUGAAGGGCGUGCUAAUCUGCGAUAAGCGCCGGUAAGGUGAUAUGAACCGUUAUAACCGGCGAUACCCGAAUGGGGAAACCCAGUGUGAUUCGUCACACUAUCAUUAACUGAAUCCAUAGGUUAAUGAGGCGAACCGGGGGAACUGAAACAUCUAAGUACCCCGAGGAAAAGAAAUCAACCGAGAUUCCCCCAGUAGCGGCGAGCGAACGGGGAGGAGCCCAGAGCCUGAAUCAGCAUGUGUGUUAGUGGAAGCGUCUGGAAAGGCGCGCGAUACAGGGUGACAGCCCCGUACACAAAAGCGUAUGUGCUGUGAGCUCGAUGAGUAGGGCGGGACACGUGGUAUCCUGUCUGAAUAUGGGGGGACCAUCCUCCAAGGCUAAAUACUCCUGACUGACCGAUAGUGAACCAGUACCGUGAGGGAAAGGCGAAAAGAACCCCGGCGAGGGGAGUGAAAAAGAACCUGAAACCGUGUACGUACAAGCAGUGGGAGCACCCUUUGGGGUGUGACUGCGUACCUUUUGUAUAAUGGGUCAGCGACUUAUAUUCUGUAGCAAGGUUAACCGAAUAGGGGAGCCGGAGGGAAACCGAGUCUUAAUUGGGCGUUAAGUUGCAGGGUAUAGACCCGAAACCCGGUGAUCUAGCCAUGGGCAGGUUGAAGGUUGGGUAACACUAACUGGAGGACCGAACCGACUAAUGUUGAAAAAUUAGCGGAUGACCUGUGGCUGGGGGUGAAAGGCCAAUCAAACCGGGAGAUAGCUGGUUCUCCCCGAAAGCUAUUUAGGUAGCGCCUCGUGAAUUCAUCUCCGGGGGUAGAGCACUGUUUCGGCUAGGGGGUCAUCCCGGCUUACCAACCCGAUGCAAACUGCGAAUACCGGAGAAUGUUAUCACGGGAGACACACGGCGGGUGCUAACGUCCGUCGUGAAGAGGGAAACAACCCAGACCGCCAGCUAAGGUCCCAAAGUCAUGGUUAAGUGGGAAACGAUGUGGGAAGGCCCAGACAGCCAGGAUGUUGGCUUAGAAGCAGCCAUCAUUUAAAGAAAGCGUAAUAGCUCACUGGUCGAGUCGGCCUGCGCGGAAGAUGUAACGGGGCUAAACCAUGCACCGAAGCUGCGGCAGCGACGCUGAUGCGUUGUUGGGUAGGGGAGCGUUCUGUAAGCCUGUGAAGGUGGCCUGUGAGGGUUGCUGGAGGUAUCAGAAGUGCGAAUGCUGACAUAAGUAACGAUAAAGCGGGUGAAAAGCCCGCUCGCCGGAAGACCAAGGGUUCCUGUCCAACGUUAAUCGGGGCAGGGUGAGUCGACCCCUAAGGCGAGGCCGAAAGGCGUAGUCGAUGGGAAACGGGUUAAUAUUCCCGUACUUGGUGUUACUGCGAAGGGGGGACGGAGAAGGCUAUGUUGGCCGGGCGACGGUUGUCCCGGUUUAAGCGUGUAGGUGUGUGUUCCAGGUAAAUCCGGUUCACUUUAACACUGAGGCGUGACGACGAGGCACUACGGUGCUGAAGCAACAAAUGCCCUGCUUCCAGGAAAAGCCUCUAAGCAUCAGGUAACAUCAAAUCGUACCCCAAACCGACACAGGUGGUCAGGUAGAGAAUACCAAGGCGCUUGA